rnacentral:snRNA from 1 species
GUGCUCGCUUCGGCAGCACGUAUACUAAAAUUGGAACGAUACAGACCCGGCAACAGAUGACACCCAAACUUUUGAAACAUUCCCUUUUUAA